AGAACGAACGCUGGCGGCAGGCUUAACACAUGCAAGUCGAACGGUUGUAGCAAUACAGCAGUGGCAGACGGGUGAGUAACACGUGGGAACCUUCCUAGGGGUACGGAACAACUCAGGGAAACUUGAGCUAAUACCGUAUACGUCCGUGAGGAGAAAGAUUUAUCGCCCCUAGACGGGCCCGCGUAGGAUUAGGUAGUUGGUGAGGUAACGGCUCACCAAGCCUACGAUCCUUAGCUGAUCUGAGAGGAUGAUCAGCCACACUGGGACUGAGACACGGCCCAGACUCCUACGGGAGGCAGCAGUGGGGAAUCUUGGACAAGUGGGCGCAAGCCUGAUCCAGCCAUGCCGCGUGAGUGAAGAAGGCCUUCGGGUUGUAAGCUCUUUUACCAGGGACGAUAAGUGACGGUACCUGGAGAAGUAAGACCCGGCAAACGUCGUGCCAGACAGCCGC
rnacentral:rRNA from 1 species